UACAGAGGUGGCAAGCGUUGUUCGGAAUUACUGGGCGUAAAGGGCGCGUAGGCGGCCUACUAAGUCAGACGUGAAAUCCCUCGGCUCAACCGGGGAACUGCGUCUGAUACUGGUGGGCUUGAAUCCGGGAGAGGGAUGCGGAAUUCCAGGUGUAGCGGUGAAAUGCGCAGAUAUCAGGAAGAACACCCGUGGCGAAGGCGGCUCUCUGGAACGCAACUGACGCUGAGACGCGAAAGCGUGGGGAGCAAACAGG
rnacentral:rRNA from 1 species